UUCUGCUCACAGGCAUUCUGCUCACAAGUCAGGUGACCAAGCGAGAGACUCCAUCAUAAAACGUCAUUGUCGUUAGUUGAUCAUCAUGAAUCGAUUCAUCGUCCUUAUGUUGGUAUUGUUUGCAUUCACCCUUACACAGAGUGCAGGACCCGAAGCCCGCGAACAUGGGAAACGAUCACAUGAAGAGAAGAAGGGUUUGGGAUUAAAGAGGCGAAAGGUGUGCUCCUCAGAAUGUCCAAGUGACGGAACCUGUUUCACGAACGGAGAAUGCUAGUAAUUUUUUAAUGAUACAGUCCUAAUCACAAAUGACAUCCCGUAAAUCGCGUCAUUGGUGCGUCAUUGACGCGCUACCCGGCGCGCAGGUCGUGCGUAAGGUACGCGAAACAUGGAGAGAUUAGCGCGUCACUGCUGCAUCAUUGGCGCGCAACUCGCGCAUACGUCGCGCGUCACUGACGCGAAGCAGGACGGAGGUCAGUUGUGAUUUGGACUGUCUUAUCCAUAUACAAUAUGAGAAUAAAUCUAAGUAUCCGAA